GAGGGUAUAGCUCAAGUGGUAGAGCCCAUGCUUAGCAUGCAUGAGGUCCUGGGUUCAAUCCCCAGUACCUACU
rnacentral:tRNA from 1 species